ACAAGAUGAUUGGAUGGCAUCACCGACUCAAUGGAUCUUUACUGAGCUAUAAUUGAGAUAUGUCAAUGUGUAACAUUGAAGUGUACAACAUGAUGAUUGGAUAGGCCUAUGCACUGCAAAAUAAUUACCACAAUAAGGAAGCAGACACCCUCCAGAUGAAAACUGCUGACCACAAGCACAAAGAUUCGAAACCAUUGGAAUGAAAGGGUUGAUGAUGCUGACUUCUAAUUACCUCACAAUCAGAAGAUUGUCCAUGAGUUGAUCACUCCCUGCUCCUUGAAUCAUUACUAUAAGACAAGCCCCAACCCCUCCAGGGUGGGACACACAGACUCGAAGGCAUUAGUCCACUGUGUACCCCUUUGCCUGGCAAGGUAAUAAAGCUAUUUAUUUUGGCUUUACCCAAAACUGUGUC